GGCUACCGCCGAUCGACCGGUGUUUGCUAACGUGGAGGUCAAUCGUGGAUCAGGGAAAGCGAAGGCAGGAGCGUGAGGUGAACUGAAUUUCAGGCUGUCUGACUGUCUGAUCACACAAGAAGGUCGUACUUCUCUGGCUUCAAAUCUGAGCUCUAGCUACGCCCAUCUGAAAGAGCUGGACCUGAGCUACAAUCAUCCAGUAGAGGCACUCAAGCUGCUGGAGAAUCUGGAACUGAAAACUCUCAGAUUCUCGCCAGCCUGGGGACCACCAUUGGGUGAGCUAAGCCGGAGUCCGAGCCAACCUGAGCCUCUGCAAGGAUUGUGUACAUAGCCCCUUCCCCUCCUGUGCGUGUGUUCUCCGGAGACCCUCUUCCUGUGCCCCCCCCUCACCUGUAUAUAUUCGCACCUGGUGUCUGUGUGUGUGUAAAUAAAUUGUGAACUCUAGUGACGGUCUGCCUCCGAGUCUCUCCUGAGCCUGACAGAAUGUUUGUUUCAUCUCCCCAUCAUAUGCUGCUACUCUUUUAUCCAUUUGCACAAUACUAUGUCACUUUUAGAAU